CGCGAGCUUAUUUUGCGCGCUUGUGCGCAACUGUCAACAUGGCAUCCCACUUUUUUUUCCUUUUAUUUUUCUUUCCUCUGCCGCAUCAAUUGAAAUUUCCUUUUAUUUCUAAAACCUAACCUUUCAGCGACGAAGUUCCCACGACGUCGCUCGUCGAUCCCCACCUCGACGUUCCUCUUCCUCUCUCGCCGAUCCUUGCCAUCUUUCGUCGCUACCGCUGACGCCGUUGUUUGUCGAGAGCCCCCUUCUUCGCUCUCUGAUCCUCGCAGCCCUCGCCUCGGCGCUCCUUGCUCGCCGAUCCCCACCGUCUUUCGUCGCUGUCGCCGCUGUCUGUCGAGAGCCGCCGACGCCACGCUGGCCCUACCGUCGUUCCUCACCCACUUACAUAAAUCUGUGAGCGAUGCUGGUGUAAGAAAAUAGCAAGCUUUCACGUUUGAGUGAGGAUGAAUUUUGUUAGUUGUUAGCUCCUUGUGCUGAACGUCUGCCGGGACAUUAUUUCCCCAAUGCCAACCAGACAAAAUCCAAUCAUCCCAAGACCUUGAAGAACCAUUUCUGAGAAGAAGCAUUGUAAUUUAAUGAUGUUUAUCAAGAAGCAUAACAAAUGUAUUUCUCACUUGCAUUGUUAAUAGUUGUAGACUUUGUAUUAUUAACAAAUAUUUGUGCUUUUAGCUCAAGUGGAAAUGGCUAAUAAAUACUGAUUAUUGUUAUUAUUUUCA